CCAAAACCUAGCCUUAAGGAUGGGGAUAACAGACGGAAACGACUGCUAAUACCGAAUACGUUCUAAGCAUCGCAUGGUGCAUAGAAGAAAGGGUGGCCUCUACAAGAAAGCUAUCGCCUUAAGAGGGGUUUGCGACUGAUUAGGUAGUUGGUGAGGUAACGGCUCACCAAGCCGACGAUCAGUAGCCGGUCUGAGAGGAUGAACGGCCACACUGGAACUGAGACACGGUCCAG
rnacentral:rRNA from 1 species